GACGAACGCUGGCGGUGUGCUUAACACAUGCAAGUCGAACGGUAAGGCCCUUUCGGGGGUACACGAGUGGCGAACGGGUGAGUAACACGUGAGUAACCUGCCCUCAUCUCUGGGAUAACAGUCGGAAACGGUUGCUAAUUCUGGAUAUGAGCUUGCAAGGCAUCUUGUGGGUUGGAAAGAUUUUUUUGGUUGGGGAUGGACUCGCGGCCUAUCAGCUUGUUGGUGAGGUAGUGGCUCACCAAGGCUUCGACGGGUAGCCGGCCUGAGAGGGCGACCGGCCACAUUGGGACUGAGAUACGGCCCAAACUCCUACGGGAGGCAGCAGUGGGGAAUAUUGCACAAUGGACGGAAGUCUGAUGCAGCAACGCCGCGUGCGGGAUGACGGCCUUCGGGUUGUAAACCGCUUUCAAUUGUGACGAAGCUUUUUGUGACGGUAGCAGUAGAAGAAGCACCGGCUAACUACGUG
rnacentral:rRNA from 1 species